UACGGAGAGUGCGAACGUUGUUCGGAUUCACUGGGCGUAAAGAGCGCGCAGGCGGUCGGAUCAGUCGAAUGUGAAAGCCCCCGGCUCAACUGGGGAGGGUCAUUCGAUACUGAUCGACUCGAAGGCAGGAGAGGGUAGUGGAAUUCCCGGUGUAGUGGUGAAAUGCGUAGAUAUCGGGAGGAACACCUGAGGUGAAGACGGGUUGCUGGGCCAACACUGACGCUGAGGCGCGAAAGCCAGGGGAGCAAACGGG
rnacentral:rRNA from 1 species